AACCUGCUGCCCCUUAGACUUGGUCCAGUCUAAUAUCCAACAACCCAUCUUCUUAAUUAUAAUUUAUCGUUAUCUCCUUUCUCUAUGAUUUUGAGGUCUUUGCUCAUCUUCCUUCAUGCUCUAGCUGAACCAUCGACAACUUUUCAUCCAUUGACUUUCCCAUGGUUGCAUAAUUCAACGUUCUGCCACAUAAAAAUAAAUAACCUUUGUGUUGGAUCUCCUAACGUGAGAUAGGGGUGAAGCGUGUCUUAGUGACCGGAGGUGCUGGUUAUAUAGGUUCUCACGCUGCACUUCGACUGUUGAAGGAUUCUUACCGUUGUCCAGAUCUCCUAACGUGAGCUAGGGGUGAAGCGUGUCUUAGUGACCGGAGGUGCUGGUUAUAUAGGUUCUCACGCUGCACUUCGACUGUUGAAGGAUUCUUACCGUUGUCACCAUAGUGGACAACCUAUCUCGUGGGAAUUUUGUUGCUGUUAAAGUUCUUCAAAAGCUAUUUCCAGAGCCUGGCCGAUUGCAGCUCAUACAUGCUGACUUAGGAGAUGCAAAAGUCAUAUCUACAUGAUAGUAAUUAAGACUAACAUGCAUGUCUACAUAUGUAUAUACAAGUGUUCCAUUUCUUUUUCCCUUAAUAACAUCUUAAUUAGGUAAACAAAAUCUUUGCUGAAAAUGCAUUUGAUGCGGUCAUGCAUUUUGCUGCUGUUGCUUAUAUUGGUGAAAGCACGCUCGGACCUCUCAGGUAUCCUUCCCUCCGUUUCGACUUUGAACCUGCAUAAGUGCUAAAAGUAAAUGUUAGGGGGAACACAAUGUUUUUGCUACAAUACAUCUCUGGGGAGUGUUGCUGGCAAUUGCUGUCUCGAUCACAACAUUUCAUCAAAUACUUUGGUACUUUUAGAGGCAAUGGCUGCACAUCAUGUGAAGACAUUGAUUUAUUCUAGCACCUGUACAACAUAUGGAGAGCCUGAAAAAAUGCCAAUUACAGAAGAAACUCAUCAAAAACCAAUCAACCCAUAUGGAAAAGCCAAGAAGAUGGCAGAAGAUAUUAUAAUCGACUUCUUCAAAACCAAUGGCAUGGCGUUCAUGAUACUAAGGUAUGUGGUUCUCGAUUUCAAGUAAUGCUGAUGCUAAGUUUUCUUGCUGCUCGUUGUACUUCUUUCAAGGUCUCAGUAUAAAGUGUUACAAUCUGAAACGGAAGAAGACUGAAUGACGACUAUCAAAGAAACCUUGGUACAGAAAACUGCCUUCUGGGAAGUAAAAUGUCUUACAUUUUCCUGUUUUACAUUCUACUAUCGUGCAAAAUUGAAAGGUCAACAAUAUAAUUUAGAGAUGGAUUAUAAUUCAUUGUGCCAUUUAAUUGUGGUAUAAAUAAUGAUCCUUUGUUGGUAUCUUCAGAUUAGCUAAUCAACUUUCAACAGAUGAUUAUAUAGUGCAACAGGAGACUAGAUAAGAGCAGAGAUUGUCAUGUUGACAAUCAAUUUAAAUGGAUAAGGGAAUUUGAUUUAUAUACUUCUAUUUUCCAGAUAUUUAAUGUGAUUGGAUCAGAUCCAGAAGAACAUUUAGGUGAAUCGCCCAGGCCUGCACUAUGCGAGCAUGGUCGGAUAUCUGGUGCUUGUUUUGAUGCAGCUAGAGGGAUAAUACCUGGACUCAAGAUUAGAGGAACAGAUUACAAAACAGCUGAUGGCACCUGUGAACGGGACCGUAUUGAUAUAACUGACCUAGUUAAUGCUCAUAUGAAAGCUCUUGCCCAUGCAAAACCAGCCAAGGUCGGGGCAUCUACAAUGUUGGCACUGGAAAAGGCUAUAGAACUCAUUUGCUCUAAUUAGUUUCUAAUUCUCAGCUCCUUCUUGACCAUGAUACAUUCCUAUCAAGUCGAUGUAGAUCAGUAAAGGAGUUUGUGGAAGCAUGUAAGAAGGCAACAGGUGUGAAUAUAAAGGUAGAUUACCUAAGCCGCUGGCCAGGGGACUAUGCUGAAGUUUACAGCGAUCCUUCCAAAAUCAGGCGUGAGCUAAAUUAGACAGCUCAAUACAUAGACCUUCAAGAGAAUUUACAGAUAGCAUGGAGAUGGCAGUCAAUCUUUUUUUAUUUAAUAAUAUUAAUAUCCAAAUGGUUAUGAUCACAGUAAAUAAUAAUAUCAAUUUCUGUAGCCACAAUGAGUUUUUAUUGUGUCCCAGAAGAUAUGUAGAUUAGUAGGUUGAAAAGUUAUAGCACAUUUGAAGAAUGUAAGGAAGAAGAGUCUGACAGUUAAUAGCUGCAACAGCAGCAUACCAUCUUUAGCAGUUUAUCAUACUGAAAAUUGAAUAUUCUGAAAUAGUUUCAAAUAUAUAUGAAACGAGUUGGAAAGGAAUUUUUCCUUGUUUUCUCA